rnacentral:other from 2 species
UCGGCCCGACGGUGUUCGUGAUGUCUAACGUGGUCUUGAGCCAACAGAUAAAGAGUCGGGAACUCCUAACCGGCCCGUCACGGGCGUGGAGCGGGGUGCCCACCUGCGAAAGCAGGUUCAAGGCUCCGUUGCACACGGCACAGGUGGAGUCGAC